UACGGAGGGUGCAAGCAUUAAUCGGAUUUAUUGGGCGUAAAGGGCGCGUAGGCGGGAAAGAAAGUUAGAUGUGAAAGCCUGAGGCUUAACUUCAGAACAGCAUCUAAAACUUCUUUUCUAGAGGAUGAGCGGGGAAAAGGGAAUUCCACAUGUAGCGGUGAAAUGCGUAGAUAUGUGGAGGAACACCGGUGGCGAAGGCAGGUCUCUGGGCUGACACUGACGCUCAUGCACGAAAGCGUGGGGAGCAAACAGG
rnacentral:rRNA from 1 species